rnacentral:misc_RNA from 1 species
GAUAAAGGUUUAGUUGAGCUGAGUUUUAUAGAUAAACAAGUAACCAGCUAACACUGGGGUGUUAGUAAAGCAGUGAUAAGCAAACAAUGUAAAUAGCUUUAAUUCAGAUGACAUAACAAAACAAUGAGUAAAGCAACAACAUAAAAACAUGCCAAGGAAUCCCUCAGCCCGAAAUUCUCUUGUUGGUGCAUCAGCUACUAAAUGUGGAAUAUGUAGACAAUUCAGACCUGCAACUGGCUAGGAAUAGUCGAUGUAAAGUCCAUGGAUUAAGGAGCUUUAAGUCUACAACAUACCUAUUAUGUCAACUUUAUCACAAGGAUACACCCAUUGCACCACAGAGGUUUUGGGGCUCAAAUCCAAACAGACAAUUACAACAAGACAAAUGAAGCUAAAUCAGCGGCAACAGAUUAUAUAAAAGGUUAAAUAAAUACAUGUAUAACAAUAAAGUAUCACAAACAUCAAAAGCAAGGCAAUUGCUCCAGUGGUAUAAAUCUCUCUGGGUGUGAGAGGUUCAUGCAAUUCAAGGUUAGAGUUUAUGUAUUGUGUUCUUUUAUUUUUUGUUGGCCCCUCAAAAUUUAUACUCUUCGAUUGAAAGGUUGGUAGAGAAGAGAGGAGCGAUGGGGGUAGGGGGCAUACAGUUUAU